rnacentral:lncRNA from 1 species
AAGCCCCGGGCCCCCACUGCCAUGCUGGAUAAGUGGAAGCGCAGUUUACAGAAUGCGUUUUUUAUGUUGGAAAGCGUAUUUCUAUUUAAAUGUGGCUGGAAGUGCGCUUUCCUUUAAAUAAAACGUAUUUUAGACGAGUGCGCUUUUAGUUCAGCCGCCAGGGGCCUGUCUGUGAAUAAAUGUUUUACAGAUUAGUCCCUGGUCUUCAACCCUUCAUAUCUUUUUACCCAUAGCUCCAAAUCAGGUGACUCCAAAGCCCACAUCUUCGUUUCGACGAGCCCUUUCUGUUGGUCACACUUUCACCAUGUGUUAAAAUUCUGAAAAUGACCAUUUUGCCCCUGCCCUUAUUCAGGUGAUUCUUUCCGCGAGUUUCUCGCACUUUCUCCUGGUGAUUUCUGCCACCCCAUGCAAGCCACAACCUCGAUUUGCAUCACUGUAAUGCAGUGACAUGGUUUAAUUUAUUUGAACUUGUUUAAAAUAUUGCUUUAGCUACACAUUUCUCUAUGCAUGGCAUUUUCUCGGAGUAUUAUUUUGAUCUUGCUGUUGCCAUGCUAUUGUUUGGAUUACUAGAAGUUAUGUUUGAAGUUGAUGAGUAUCAUGUGUCAUUGGAGUACUAGUGGUUGAUAUUAUGAUCAUUUUCAUGAUGGUAUCUGGUAUUAUAUUUGGGAGUAUUACUCUGGAUGUCAUGUUGCCUUUGGAUUACUAGUGGCUAGAUUUAUUUUCUUCAAGAUGAUAGUUGAUGUUCUGUUGCUUGGUAUUAUUUUCGGAGAUGAUGUUUAAACGUGGAUCUUAGCUGGAUAGCUUGUUCUCAUUAUUGGAGUAGUAGGAAUAUUGUAUUUCGAUCCAUCGUGAUAGUAGUGUUAUGCUAUCCUCUGAGUAUUUUGGUAUGAUGAUAUUAUGCUUGGAUUAUUUGUUGGAUAUUCCUAUGACUUGGAUUACAGUUUGAUAAUUGAUAUCGGAGUAUCAACUAUCACAGUUAUAUUUUGGGGAUAUAUUCCGUCAUUAAGUUGGUCAGGUGUCACCGAACCGGGCUUUUCCAGUGCAACCACAUUUGCCUUUUAUGGGAAGGCCCUAAUGUGAUGCUAUUGUCGUGCCUCUCGCUGGUGCCUCCAACUAGGGAAGGUUAUGGGUGCGCGCUACCCUAAUCAGGUAGGCGGACAUAAGCCUUGUGAGCCCGAGUUUGGUUAUGUGCACAUGUCCCCGUUUGGGACCGUUUUUGUUUUGCCACGACGGUGGUCUUUGGUGCCUUUUGUAGGCAUGGGUCCACCCAGGAUUGAACCCAAAAGGGGGUGUUGUUCAGAGUGGCUGGGAGAGUGUCAUGGCAGUAGAAUGGUUUUGUUGGAAUGCCGUUGGUCCACCCAAAUGGGAGUGCGAGGCCAUGGGUUCCGUGGUGUGGGUACAGUGCGCUACCUCUGCAAAGUGUGUGUUUAAGCUAUCGAUAGCCGCGUCCUUACUAGGUCACACCAUUCGAUCAACACUCACGUGACGGAAUGACUUAUAGUUGAUUUAUAUGAUGUAUGUGAGCAGUAACAGUUUGGCAGGAUGUUUGAUGAUGAUGUUGAGAUGAUCUUGAGGAUGAUCAUUCAGUUUGUGAUGUGGUCAUGAGGUGACCGUGUGGAUAUGUUGAUCAUGAGGUGAUCACGUAGAUGUUUUGAUCACAAGGUGAUCAUACGGACCACGAGGUGGUCGAGAUGGUAUAUUUUGCUUGGCCGGUUAGCCAAGAAUGAGAUUGUUGUUGGGAUUGAGAUGUUGGUUUAUCAGUAUGGCAAUAAUUUCCUAUCAUGCUUAGUAGGUGUUGUCAUGUCAUGGUAGCUGUUAAUUAAAUUAACCUGCUUAAUGCUAUGUUGUUAUCUUGCCUUGAUGUUUUUGGUUGUUGUGAGCUUGCAAGUACAUUCAAUGUACUGACCUAGCGUGUUAUGCCAAAUGGCAGGAGAUCUGUGAUUGCUUGAUUGCUUGUUGAGGUUUCCGUGUGUGCGAGCUAGAUCGUGUCCCAGCCAGAGUCCCUGCGGAGUGGAGUUCACCACCUUCGUCGUUGUUCCGCUGCUAGAAGAUUUCCGCUGCUACGAGUUGUUCUGCUGCUAGCAUCGAGCAAGUGUAGUAUCACAGGCGUAGUGUCGCCAUGCUAAUGUGAUCCUUUGUAACAUCAGACCUUUGUAUUUAUCCUUUGUAAUAAGAGCUGAUUUGUUCUAUGUCAAGCAGUGUCGCAUUCUAGAAGACUUCAUCUCAAUCUCUGGGCUGGAAUACGGGGCGUUCUGGUUUCUCUGAGCCGGGGUGCCACAGGCUUGGUAUCAGAGCAGGUCUGGCUGUAGGACGCCCUAGUCAGCGCGAGCGGUAGAAGCCGGUAGAAAUCGGUAGUAUGGAGUUAUGGCUUGUUGAUUGCAUUUGGUUGUUGCAUUUGUUUGUUGCAUAGUAUGCAUAUAGCCUUAGUAUUUUUGUUAACGGUUUAUCUGGUGAGUGUAGCUGGCAUCAGAUCCUGAUCCACUACAGCUCAGCCUCUGCAUUUCUCUAGAUUCCCUUUUUCUUUCGAUGUUUGGUGUCAUUUCUGUCCUAGCAGAGUGAUGCCAAGUGAUCCCGACACUAUUUGCAAAAAUGGUGCUCAGGUAUCGCACCGAUGUCUUCCUUUCAGCCCCCCUAUCGUUUCGGUGAUAGACAUGCUUCUAUCCCGGAUCGUUGUUGUAUUUUUGUCGUGUUGGCACCCCUUAAUGAUCUUAGUUAUCAAGAAAGGGCAAUGUCAGCAGCCUCAGUUUUUUCCCCGUUAUCCUAUUUCUUGGACAAGUAUGGAUCUUUUUCUGUCGGCUUGAUAAUAAUGUGGUUGUGACCUUCGUGUCCCACUACAUGGUUACCAAGUACGUCCUUGCUUUCAAGCUAUUCCAGGUUGCUACCUGGCUAAGCUAGCACUUUGUCUCGCGAUGUUUACACCCAUUCUUCCACACAUUUAUUCAUCCUCGUGCACAUCGUCACAGCAUGCUACAUCGUAGUACGGGAGAUUCCGUGAAAUUUGUGUGCUUAAGUAGGCAUGCAUAUUGUGUGACUAGCAAUAGUAUGUGACAUUGAUUGUUGUUGUGUGCUUUUGUUUAGUUGAGUCUUCUUUUGCUUCUUUCUUUUUGGGCCCAGGUGUUACAUUAUUUUCCCCCUAUAAAGAGUUGCUCAUCCACCGACACCUGACUCAAAGAAGCAAUAAGGAUUUGAAAUAUUUGGAAGAAGCUCAGCUAGACAUUAUUGUCUAAACAAUCAACUGCAUUGUGGCAUUAAUAUCUUCUCAGAAUACCAAUGGUGUCUCAUAUUGAUUAUCAGCGUAGAGUCUACAUCAGUAUAAAAUCCUCACAACAGUUAUGAUCCAGCCAGCAACAAGACAAGUCAGGUACAAGGUCAACGGUAUAUUUUCAGAUAGAGGUAUGGAUCAUAUACAAAGUUUUGGCUCAAUAAUGCAUGAUGCUUGAAAUAUGUUAUCAUCCAAAAUAAAGUAAGAAUGUGAUAUGCUCAAGGAAGACAGUCAAACCAUUUUUCUCAUGCAAAUAAUCAACCUCAAAAUAUUAUGGGUGUGUGUAUGGAUUUCAGUUUGCAUAUCAGUAUGAAGUUUCCGAUAUAAGAAACCCAGUAUUCUUCCACACGCCAUCGGAAGAAAUUUAUGAUGCAAGGCUCCUCAAUUUUCCUCAGCAUGAUAUGUGAACACUUUCCAGCCCAUGAUAUCCGUUCUUUCUCACCAAGAUACCUCGGUAAAAGCUUCUGACAGACGGAAGUAAUUUUUUCUCAACAAGCAAAAUCGAGGAGAAGCUCCACAAGUACGGAACUCAGGCUUCUCCAAGCACAACAAUCAGACCAAGCUUCGUGUGUAAGCUAUAGAGCCUUCUUCUACACGAUACCCAGACAAAAUAUUUGAUCAGAAGUUAACAAGUCUUCCUUAGCAAGCUACUCGGAUGGCUUCUCUCGUAAGCGAUUCAGUCUGCGUCAGUAUCAUACUAUUACACCAUCCUCAGAGGUUAUAUGAUGAGUUGCCAAUGUAUGCCAGCACCGUUCAAGAAUUAGACUCGCAACAUUUUUGUCGGAAGCACAAAUCUGUCAGGGAAUAGGCCUUCUUCAGAAAUCAAGUGUUCGGUUACAUAUCUUUCCACAUAUAUGGUGAGAAUGUAUCCUCGGACAUGCAAGUUACUCGGAUAGCUUUCAACCCACGACACCUUGCCUUCUUCAGCACGACACCGCAUGUCGUAUUCAGUAUUGCUACAAGUGAUGACCCCAUGAGUCGGCAGUAUAUGAUAGUGCACUUCAAGGACCAGACUUGCAAUAAUUUUUGUCAGCGGUACAAUUCAGUCAAAACAUAUACCUACCGCAAGAAUCAAGUGUUCGGUUGCAUAUGAUUCUUAUAUAUGGUGAGCACGCGUCCCCAGUCAUAUCAGUCACUCAUGCGAGAUGCGGCAAGGAUCCAGCAGACACACCUAAGAAAAGUAAGGAUCCCACAACCUCACGAGUCAGGCAAAGGAAAAUGAGUAGAGAUACAUCUCAUGAAUUACAAGGAUCGACAAGAUCUGGAGGUGACAACGCAGAUUCAACAGUCGUGACAAUGCUCACCAAAGGCAUUAUUCCCGCAUUAGACAAGGAGGAUGUCAGAAGAUCUUGUCACCUUCUUGUAUGAUUGGCCUCAGCAAUGAGCUCCGUACAGCUACAACUCCCUAGUAUAUGUCAUAUAUAUGCUGACCUAGGUCGGAAAACAAGCGCAAGGAAUCAUGCCAAAAAUAUUGCACUCACCACAUACAUGGUCAUACGAAGAAUCAAGGACAUAUGUGGCCAAGCUAUUUCAGUAAGGUAUCCUAACAAAGAAAAUCAUGACCAUUGAAGGGUGAGAAUGACAGCAAAGGUAUGAUGAUUUUUGCACGACCACCAGGGUCCGGAUACCUAAGUCAGUUGGAGGCCAUAAUUCCAUAUGGAUCCACAGAGGCAUACUCUUAGCAGCCUACUCUAUUUACAAGGAUUCUCAUAUCCCACUGACCCGUUUGACAUGGUUAGUGUGGAAUAUCCAAGUUUGUUCUAUCAGAUCCAAGAUUCCUUUGCAACCUCAGCAGUUUGACCUCAGCGGCAGUGUUAAAGAUUAUCACAGCCUAUUACCACGGAUGGGUAUAUCGACCACAUGAGAAAAAUCAAAAGCCGAAUAAUCAGCUCAGAGCCGGUAUACUCACCGACGGAAUCAAGUACAAGGUCAGUUCAUUAGGAAAAGCAUUUGUCCGUCAGCCCCCUAUUAGUCCAGUAUCAAGAUGUAAAUAUUUGAGGCAUGACACCGCUAUAACUCCAUACACCAUUAUAUUGCUCACGACAAAAGGCAGUCAAAUCUUUGGUACAUAUCUCAUGCUUGAGCCGAAGAAAUAAAUCAAGAUAAAUCAAUGCUACCUGUGAGCAGUCAGAUCCCAUUAAGAGAAUGGCCAUGAUUCUCAGCAUUUAUGGAACACAGAAGACAUGCAUUUAUUUGAAGCAACCCCAUGGCAGAAGUAAAAAGGUUUUCAUGACCAAAGGAAAAAUUUAUGCUCAGAUCCAUUGGAUAUCACCGCAGAUAAGAGAAAAUUCAUGUCAACAAAAGGAUUCGGUAUGUGAGCAGAAACCAGUCAGAAUUUGGGGAAAUGUGAAGCAAACGACCCCACGGCAAGGUAAGUUGAUCAUCUGAAAUUCUUGUGGGAACAAUAAAUAAAGAAAAAAGGAUACCCGAGUUGGAAACGGUGUCCUCAAAUCAUACUUGUUCCCUAAGCAAUUAAAUCUUGAGGACGAGAUUUCUUUAAGGGGGUAAGAGUUGUAACAACCUGGUUUUGGCCCUUUUUUCUUUUGAUUUAUCUGGCUUUUGCUCUGUUUUUCUUCUAGAGUGGCUCUGUGGCCUUGCCACCUGGGAAAACAUCCUCAUUCCCCCUCCCAAGUGGCUCAUAAUUCGCAAAACCUUGCCAAGAUCAUGUCACUUCACUCCUUGACCAAACCCUAAAAUUCUUUUCUAGGGAAAUUUCCUUUUUCAUUAAAGGAAUAACCCUAUCUGCCCUAGCUUGUGAAGCGACCUAUAUUUCUGCCCAUCCAAAAAUUCCCAAUUAAUUCUCAUAAUUCCUUUGGGUCAUAUGUUGCUCAAAUAUGCCCAAACUUUUCUAUCCUAGUCCAAGAAUAAUUCCCCAAUAAUUAUUCUUCCUUUCUAUACUGAAUUGCACUUCAUGAAGGAAGUGUCAUUUAUAUUUUCCUAGUGGAUCCCAAGCUUUUGGGAAUGUUUAUAUGUCCAAAUAAUUUACCCAUGCACAAGUUCAACUUUAUUUGCCUAGCCAAUCUUCCUCAGUGAUUUUUCAAAGUUUCUGCCAGACAAAAGGCUUUGUGAAGGAAUUACUAGCUAGGAGUACCCAAAUGAGUUGAACUUUUGGACACUCCUUAAUCUUCUCAUAUUAACCCCCUCCAGCCAAUCAUAUAUCUGAGCACAGGAGCAAAUCUUUGAUUAUGGCAAUAUUUUCAGGUUGUGAAGCAAGUGUAUUUUAUAUUGCUUCAAAAAUCCUGAUAAAUUACCAGAUCAUCCUUAUACCCAUAAAAUACCUCUCAACCCAAUUUUGCAUCAUUUCAUCAAGCCAUUUGAUCACCAAAAUUAUUCCAAGUUUCUAGACAGAAAUGAUGUUUGUGAAGCAAGUACCAUUUUGGUGAACCCAUUUGGUAUGAGCUUCUUACAGCAUCUUUAUAUGUCCAUAUCAUCAGGAUUUGCCACGUUGCAUCCCAUUACAUCACACCAUGUGAGUGCAUCAUCCAAAUCUUGAUUCUGGACCAAUUUUGGGGUUACACAGCAACUAUAUUAGUUUGUGCUCCAUUAUGCUCCAAAACCUCCAGGAUCAUAGUCCUUCCGUAGUUACUCAUCCCAGACAACACCAUUUGACCCAAUCAGUUUCCUGUUGAUCAGCAGUGCUCUGCCAAGUUAGAUGCAGUAAACUUCAAAGCUUAGUUACCAUUUAACCAUAGCACCCUAGAUCCAACCAUGGCAUCAUCAAUGCUCUAUCUUGGAAGGACUAUCAUCUAGAGAACGUUUUGGGUGCUGUAGAGCAUUGAAUGCCCCAAUUCACAUGGUGACUACGAUGAUGGCGUGCAUGUACACGCACUCUUUGCGCAGUGGCCUCGUCCAGGGCGCCAUUUCUACUUCGUCUGCUCCCCACUCAUCGACUUUGCGCGCGUGAGCAUGUCCCUUGGCUUCACCUCGUCGUCGAUGUUCCCCUGGACCCCUCUCCCCCUCCAUCCGCUUCCUCACCGAGGCAAGCCGCCGCGCGCCCAUGGGGAAGCAUUGGCGGUUUGGCUCGGAGCUCGCCGUCUUCUUCCUCCCUGCACUCCCUUGGUCUCCUCUUCCUCGUGAGCUCUCCCUCCUGUUCCCUCUCGCGCCUAACCCCGAGCUCAUGUGCGUGCACACGCGUCUGCAGUGACGGACAUGCGUCCGCGGCGACGACAACUAUCCCCUCCGGCGCCUAUUUAAGGCCACCCCGAGCUCCCUCGACUGCACCAGUAGCCUCACUCCUUCCCCUAGUCCUCCCGAGCCCCUUCCCCGAGCACCAGAGCCCUUCCUCGACCUCCAUUGCCACCGUGGCCAUCGUUCGGCUCCGCUCAAAUUAAAGAGAGUCAAUGCCUCUCCUUCCAUCUCUUCACCUCCAGCAGACCACCACCACCACUCUAUAGACGCCUCGACCCAUGCCUCUUCCUCGGAUGCACCCUUGCCGUGGUCUCAAGCUCACCGUGGCCGCCUUCCUCCCAAGCCAGGGGCGCGUCCAACCCCGGCAGCCCCCGAGGCCCGCGCGGCGACCCACUGGCGCGGGAUGGAAUGGCGCAUCCAUCCCCGGCGGUGCCCUAGCCUGCCGUGGCCCGACUCGCCGGAGCGGGCAAAGCACCGGCGGCCCUCGCCUGAUCUUCGGGCGGCAACGGGAAGAAGAAGCAAACGCCAACCCCCUCCCUGCCAGCUGGCCAGUGGACCCCGCAGGACCUACUCGUCAGCGACUUAAGCCCCGGGCCCCCACUGCCAUGCUGGAUAAGUGGAAGCGCAGUUUACAGAAUGCGUUUUCGAUGUUGGAAAGUGUAUUUCUAUUUAACUAUGGCUGGAAGUGCGCUUUCCUUUAAAGAAAACAUAUUUCAGCCGAGUGCGCUUUCAGUUCAGCCGCCAGGGGCCUGUCUAUGAAUAAAUGUUUUAUAGAAUAGUCCCUGGUCUUCAACCCUUCAUAUCUUUUUACCCAUAGCUCCAAAUCAGGUGACUCCAAAGCCCACAUCUUCAUUUCGUCGAGCCCUUUCUGUUGGUCACACUUUCACCAUGUGUUAACAUUCUGACAAUGACCAUUUUGCCCCUACCCUUAUUCAUCCCCCUCUGAGAGACAACAAUUUCCCACGAUUUUUUUCGCAAGUUUCUCGCACAUUCUCCCGGUGAUUUCUUCCACCCCAGGCAAGCCACAACCUCCAUUUGCAUCACUGUAAUGCAGUGACAUGGUUUAAUUUAUUUGAACUUGUUUAAAAUAUUGCUUUAGCUACACAUGACUAUGUGCAUGGCAUUUUCUCGGAGUAUUAUUUUGAUCUUGAUGUUGCCAUGCUAUUGUUUGGAUUACUAGGAGUUAUGUUUGCAGUUGAUGAGUAUCAUGUGUCAUUGGAGUAUUAGUGGUUGGUAUUAUGAUUAUUUUCAUGAUGGUAUCUGGUAUUAUAUUUCGGAUUAUUACUUUGGAUGUCAUGUUGCCUUUGGAUUACUAGUGGCUAGAUUUAUUUUCUUCAUGAUGAUAGUUGAUGUUCUGUUGCUUGGAGUAUUAUUUUCGGAGAUGAUGUUUACAUGUGGAUCUUAGAUGGAUAGCUUGUUC